rnacentral:rRNA from 1 species
ACGCUCGACACCUACGGGAGGCAGCAGUUGGGAAUAUUGGACAAUGGAGGAAACUCUGAUCCAGUGACGCCGCGUGAAGGAAGAAGGUCUUCGGAUUGUAAACUUAUUUUGUCAGGGAAGAAAAAUGACUGUACCUGAAGAAAAAGCACCGGCUAACUACGUGCCUGCAGCCGCGGUAAUCUGAGCGGGCUGGCAAGGC